UCCUGUGAAGUGUUUCAUUCUUCAACAUAUUACACAAACAGUGCCCAACGUUUCAACAGGAGGAAGCGAAGAGGUUAAAACUCACCGGAAGUGACGUCACUAACAGCAGCCGGACCCCCCCCACCACCCCAAAAAAAAGGAGAAUCAUAGCAGCAUCACCACCAAAAGGAGGGAAAAAAUAUGUCAGGCAGCGUUUCAGAGGAGGCUGCUGGUGUGUUUCUUGCUUUGGUGAAAGCAUGAUUGAACCCGAGGCGUUGUCCAGAUGCUGAUUCAUCUCUGAUCUAGAUUAUACCUCCAUGACAGCAGGGAUAAGAGGAAAUGUGAAUACGUGUAGUGUUGUGGUCACUAUGUAAAGUGGAAGCAGGCAGCAGAGGAUUGACUGGAAAACGACAGAUAACAAGGGCACAAUACAUCUAAAUGGAGUCAGAGCAGCUGUUCAACAGAGGCUACUGCAGGAACAGCUACAACAGCAUCACCAGCGCCAGCAGUGACGAGGAGCUGCUCGAUGGCGCCGGUGUCAUCAUGGACUUCCACACCACCGAGGACGACAACCUGCUUGACGGAGACGCUUCACCAGGUGCGAGCCUGCCACAUGUUCCUCUGUUCAUUCAGUCACUCUAAUCCAUCCCUAUCCAUCCAUCCAUCCAUCCAUCCAUCCAUCCAUUGAGUUGCAUUCCAUCUGUUCAUCCCUCCACCCAUCCAUCCACCCAUCAUCAUCCAUCCAUCCACUCAUCCAUCCACCCAUCGAGUCGCAUUCCAUCUGUUCACCCAUCCAUCAUUGAGUCCACAUUCCAUCUGUUUAUCCCUCCACCCAUCCAUCCACCCAUUGAGUCGCCAUCCUUCUGUUCAUCCCUCCACACAUCCACCCAUCCAUCCACCCAUCUGUCUACCCAUCCAUCCAUCCAUCCAUCCAUCGAGUCACAUUCUGUCCAUCCACCCAUCCAUCCACCAUCGUCAUCAACCAUCCAUCCACCAUCAUCAUCCAUCCAUCCAGUCACAUUCUAUCUGUUCAUCCCUCCACCCAUCCAGCCAUCCACUCAUUGUCACCAUCCUUCUGUCCAUCCAUCCAUCCAUCCAUCCAUCCAUCCAUCCAUCCAUCCAUUAUCCAUCCAGCCAUCAUUCAUCCACCCAUUGAGCUGUCAUCCAUCUGUUCAUCCCUUCAUUCUUCCAUCCAUCAUCCAUCUAUUCAUCUCAUCACCCAUCCACUCCACCCAUCCAUUCCUUCAUCCGUCUAUUCCUCCACCCGUCCAUCCCUCCACCCACCCAUCCAUCCAUCCAUCUUUCCACCCCCCACUGAUCCAUUCAUCCAUCCAUCUAUUCAUUCAUCCAUCUAUCCACCCAUUGAGCCACCAUCCAUUCAACAAGCCACCAUCCAUCCUUCCAUCCCUCCAUCCAUAUUGUGAGUUUGAAUUUCAUGGGAUUUCUUUUGGAUUCCUUGUUUCACACAUGCAACCCUUUUCCUGCUCAAAUUACUAGAGUCUUCUCAGUUUUUUGAACUGUCCAGUAUCCAAAUAUUUUAUUUGCAGUAAACAUUACAGGUCUUUUACAGGUUUUUUGGUUUACUUUUCAGUCUUCUGGCCUAAAGCAGGGAACAGGACAAAUGCAUCAUAAAAUGUCAAUAUCUUUUGUUUACACUUAACACUUACUAGGAAAUUUGAUUGAGGUCAGAUUUUUCUGACAUUUAUAUUUCAGU